rnacentral:piRNA from 1 species
UGAGCUCUUUCGAUGGCUUUGGGAGAC